GACGAACGCUGGCGGCGUGCUUAACACAUGCAAGUCGAACGGAAAGGCCCUGCUUUUGUGGGGUGCUCGAGUGGCGAACGGGGGAGUAACAAGUGAGUAACCUGCCCUUGACUUUGGGAUAACUUCAGGAAAAUGGGGCUAAUACCGGAUAGGAGCUCCUGCUGCAUGGUGGGGGGUGGAAAGUUUCGGCGGUUGGGGAUGGACUCGCGGCUUAUCAGCUUGUUGGUGGGGUAGUGGCUUACCAAGGCUUUGACGGGUAGCCGGCCUGAGAGGGUGACCGGCCACAUUGGGACUGAGAUACGGCCCAGACUCCUACGGGAGGCAGCAGUGGGGAAUAUUGCACAAUGGGCGGAAGCCUGAUGCAGCAACGCCGCGUGCGGGAUGACGGCCUUCGGGUUGUAAACCGCUUUCGCCUGUGACGAAGCGUGAGUGACGGUAAUGGGUAAAGAAGCACCGGCUAACUACGUG
rnacentral:rRNA from 1 species